rnacentral:rRNA from 1 species
GUGGGGAAUAUUGGACAAUGGGCGAAAGCCUGAUCCAGCCAUGCCGCGUGUGUGAAGAAGGUCUUCGGAUUGUAAAGCACUUUAAGUUGGGAGGAAGGGCAGUAAGUUAAUACCUUGCUGUUUUGACGUUACCGACAGAAUAAGCACCGGCUAACUUCGUGCCAGCAGCCGCGGUAAUACGAAGGGUGCAAGCGUUAAUCGGAAUUACUGGGCGUAAAGCGCGCGUAGGUGGUUUUGUAAGUUGGAGGUGAAAUCCCCGGGCUCAACCUAGGAACUGCCUCCAAAACUGCAUGACUAGAGUACGGUAGAGGGUAGUGGAAUUUCCUGUGUAGCGGUGAAAUGCGUAGAUAUAGGAAGGAACACCAGUGGCGAAGGCGACUACCUGGACUGAUACUGACACUGAGGUGCGAAAGCGUGGGGAGCAAACAGGAUUAGAAACCCGUGUAGUCC